rnacentral:tRNA from 1 species
UCCCUGAUGGCUAAGAUGGUAAAGAAUCUGCCUGCAACUCAGAAGACCCGGGUUCAAGUCAUGGGUUGGGAA